rnacentral:rRNA from 1 species
UGGGGAAUAUUGCACAAUGGGCGCAAGCCUGCUGCAGCCAUGCCGCGUGUAUGAAGAAGGCCUUCGGGUUGUAAAGUACUUUCAGCGAGGAGGAAGGCGUUGUGGUUAAUAACCGCAGCGAUUGACGUUACUCGCAGAAGAAGCACCGGCUAACUCCGUGCCAGCAGCCGCGGUAAUACGGAGGGUGCAAGCGUUAAUCGGAAUUACUGGGCGUAAAGCGCACGCAGGCGGUCUGUCAAGUCGGAUGUGAAAUCCCCGGGCUCAACCUGGGAACUGCAUCCGAAACUGGCAGGCUAGAGUCUUGUAGAGGGGGGUAGAAUUCCAGGUGUAGCGGUGAAAUGCGUAGAGAUCUGGAGGAAUACCGGUGGCGAAGGCGGCCCCCUGGACAAAGACUGACGCUCAGGUGCGAAAGCGUGGGGAGCAAACA